rnacentral:lncRNA from 1 species
AGUUUAAGCUGGUGUUAAAGUAGACAAGCAGACUGGUUAAGACCACCAAGACUAAAUGAAGUUGUUUGUCACAGACAUCUUAGGAGGAAGAGAAUACAGAUACCAGACAUUUUCUUUACUAAAAUGGACAGUUUUUUUUUCUUUCUUUUUUUCCUUUUAAAAGAUUUUUUAUAUAGAAGAAAUCUGAAAAUUUGGAGGCAGCACCGGCUUUUUUUAAAUGAAGAAUGGUGUAUAUGAACUGAGUCUGUCUGCAUGAUGCAGCUCUGAUUUCUUGGGUGAAGAAAAUCUACUUUGGGUCCCAAUGCGACUGAAAAGGACUGUGAAAGAACAAUAUGAACCCCAAGAUGAUUCUCUUACUCCUGAUGAUUGAGACCGGGAUAAGUAUACCCUUGUAGGCCAAAUACAGGUCUAUCGAAUUAUCUGAAAGGGGAACUGGUCGCAGAAGCUGGAAAGGUUGCAGACGAAGCUACAGAUACAGAUCCUGAACCUUAUUGGAACCAGAGUGGAACCAGUGACCCUUGGAGACUUCACCUCUUGACUUACCUCUGCAUUUUUCUCACUUCAAAGAAUGGGUGGGGGUGGCUCUGUUUAGCGCAGCCCUGUGUUGUGGAUUAGUGCUUAUACUAUGACUGGUUUGCAAACUCAGAUCUCAGCAGAAACGUGACAAGGUGGUAAUUGCUCAAGCACUUGCUGCCAUAGAGCAAGGCACCUCCCCUGAAAUUUGGCUAUCUAUUCUCAAGAAUUAGUUGGCAUUUGAGUUCUCUGCCUUUGCAUUCCACGAAUUUGUGGAUACAUUGCAUUGAGAUGAGAGAAACUCAACGAUCAUUGAUCAACCCGUGUGCAUUGCUGAGGUUUCCUCAUUGCAUGUGAUAGAAUGACCAUGAUUUCCCCACUAAUUUAUUUUUGGCUGGCCUCUUCUGUAGAGUUCACCCUAGGCCAUUUAGCAGUUGUAGUCACACAGCACUGUGGUAUCCAGAGACGGGCAACUUUCCUCGUGCACAGACCAACCUAAGACAAUGGGGCCCGGUGGUGAUAGGGUUACCCGAUAACGGGUAAGGCUGUGACAUUGGAGGAACGACCUAAAACAGGGGCCACAGCAGAUGGACGUAACUACAGAGGCCUAGACCAGCCUCAUUUUUAUUAAAACAUAAAGGGGGAGAUGUGGAGAGCCGCAAUAACAUUUACCAUCUUAAGAUGGCGCUGGCUCCGCAGUGCCUUAUGCCACCUAAACAAAGAACAAGCUAUAUGUGCAUCUGCUAAAAGCAAAAACCCACCAAAAGUCACCAGCCCAUUUCCAGGGCACCGGUCCAUCCCCCAGGGCACUAGCCCAACCCCUGGGGCGUUUAGCCUAUCCCUAGGGUGCAUGAGAUUUGUGGGUGUAGCUACCAGUCCUAGUUUAGACACGUCACCAAAAAGUAUUUAAGCCACACACUUUCUGAGCCUUCUUUGUCUACCUCAAUAUGUUAUGAAGUAAAGUUAACCAUGAAAGAAUCUGGCGUGUCCUGUGUCUGUUUCUGCUGGCGGGAACAGGCUCAGGAUACAGUUCCACCUACUUUUUGUAAGUGACAUCAUUUUUGUUCAUGGCUGAAUAUUCUACUAUCAUAAAUAUGUGUAUUACAUAUUCUUCAUUUAUUAAUAAGAGAAAAGGUAUCUUAGUAAUUUUCUAACUUGUCUAUUAUAACUGCCAUAUUAAAUAUGAAUAUAUUGAAA